rnacentral:tRNA from 1 species
AGGAGUGUAGUUAAUAAUUAACAUUUAAUUUGCAAUUAAAAAAUACUAAAUUAAUAGUCUCUCUUA